ensembl:snRNA U1 U1 spliceosomal RNA
AUACUUACCUGGCAGGGGAGACACCAUGAGGAAGGUGGCUUUCCCAGGGUGAGGUUCAUCCAUUGCACUUGGGAUGUGCUGACCCCUGUGAUUUCCCCAAACGCAGGAAUCUCAAUUGCAUAGUUUCUGGUAGUGGGGGAAUGCGUUCACGCUCUCCCCUG